CUGAACUGCACUGUGAGAGAAAACAGAAGAGCUACUGCAACGGUUUGAAGAGCUCUCCGAGGGCCUCUCCUGCCUACAGUAACCAAGGCACAAUGGAUUAAUGUUUCCCUAGUUAAUGAGACACUUGUGUUAGGUCUCUCCAAGCGAGUCUGACAAGCAAAGGGCUCAGCCACCUUACAAAACAGCCCCGAGCAGCAAAAUCAUCUCCAAGCAGCUGCAUUUACCAGGCUCACUGAAGAGCAGCAAGCUGGGAGCCCUGGUCACACUGCAACAGACUAGCCCAGGGGGCUUUUCUGAGGCCAUUAGUUCCAUAGCUCUGCUUAAAAGACCCCUGGCGCUCUCUGUGGACACCUCAGCUCUAGCAUUACAGCUGGGAAAGGUGGUGAAACUCCUCCAUGGCAAGGAACCCCAGAGCCAGCCUGUUGAUAAGACAGGACUAGAAAACACUAUCCAGGCGCCCGACUUGGGAGCGUGGGAGCCUGGGUUUAGUCUAACCUUGCUUGCCAUGAGACUUCCAGAGCAGAUCCCACAGUGAGCAUUAAUGAACUAUUUAGCAGAUGCACAGGCUCCUUCCUAACUGGGAAGUAAACACUCGGGCUGGCUUCCAGCUCAUCUUCAGCCUCAGAACCAGAUGUACUCUGCCAGCCAAGGACAGAGCCCCCUUGCUGCUCCCACUACUAAAGACAUUUGCUUGCUCGUGUCAGUGCCUCUUAGUUUCUCUUCCUCUUGCACCAUUCCUCAGUAUUAAACUCCAAUCUGGCUUUGGGGCAAAGCUUUGCCCUUCUCAGCUGCAAGCACGCUUCACUCACGCUCUGUGUUUGCACUCAUGAUGAAAACCUUCCACUGAGGGAAUGUACGGCAGGAAAGCGCUGCGAUUAGCUGUAGGCAGUGACCAGAAGCCAAAACAAGUAACUCCAGUGCGAUGCCUCUGCCCUUGAGAGGUUAUUACGGAUGUGGGAAGCCCCCCGGCGCCCCCCCUGAAGAGAAACACUCCAUCAGAGAGGCUCAGGAGGGCAGCCCUGUAGCGGGGCGUGCGUCACAACUGUGCUGAAAGCUGCGGCUGUGAGGGCGGGCUGGCAAAGCAAGGCACUUUCCACCUGAGAACAAACAGUUCUUGGGUUGCACGGUUGAGCAGCAUCUGUGGCCCUAACACAGCCAUCUCAAGGUCUUGCGCUGCAUAGCCAGUCUCAUUUUGGGUCUUGCUUACGUGCCAUCUCACGCAGCCAAGCCUUCCCCGCUGGGGAGGAAAUGUAUUCUCUGUGGAAGAGAGAGUGGGGGGGCCUUGAUUUGCUCCCCCCCCCCCCCCCCACCUUCUAGCUGCUAGCUAGCAGCCCCACAGCAAGCAGAAGAUGGCUUCCUCCGAUGGAAAGCCCAAAGCCCAGACUGGCUGCUGGGGCUCACACAAGAGCAGCCAGGACACAGAGACCAAAGCUGAAAACAAAAGCUCAGACGAAGGCCCAGCUCUCCCCCAGUGAACGAUUGACCAGGCUGCAUUCCAGUGUUCUCCUUCCAACAUCAAAGCUAUGCAGUUGUGUUCCUCGUGAAUAUCAUCUAGUUACCUUCCAGUGUUCCAAGCAGUGGGCUUUCCUCAGAAGCCAACCUAGGUAGCUCUGAACGCAGGUGGCACUUUAAAAUCAGUUUCACUUGUUGGUUUUAUUGCUUGAUGUGCCUCCCCACCUCUGAAAGGUGCUCAUCUUUCCAGUUUAGCCCAGCGGGAGGGGAAGGAUCUCUUCGUGCCACACACCUGGAAGGCAGCUUACCUGGGAAGAGCGCGGUGGUGGGCACGGGAGCGAGUUCACACAAAACCACACACAAAGCCCCAGUGACUUCCUCCUCCCGUGCUGCAGCUGCAGCUUCGGGUUUGCGUCACUCCCCCAGCACUGGCCACCAGGCCUUUAACUGCAGCCUUGCUGCAGGCGAGCCACCCACAAAAAGUGCCUGCAACCAGGCAGGAAGAAAAGUCUUGGGGUGUGAGGGCAGUGGGAGGCAGGCAGGGGAAGUCCCUGUUGGCAUCAAUAACUUCCAGUCACAAGUUUUCCUCCCACGCUCGGGAUCUGUUUCCGUAUCUCCAGUUGUGUCCCUGGCUCUACCCGGCUGCGAGACUACAAUUGCUAAGGGAAAGGAACUUCUCCCACACCUUAUCAGCUCUGUCCAAUGCAGGGCAGGGAUCUGGGCCAUAUAUUCAUGUCACUCCCUCUCACACCCUGGCAGUGGCUGCAUCCCAGCUCCAUGUGCAUCUGCAGCUGAUGUUCCUGACCCCCACCCAGAACUUCUACUUUUUCAGCUUUCUGUACCCAACUGCUACUGGCUUACACAUCAAAUACUUUCCAAAAUGCCUUUGCUGUUUUCUCUAAUAACAUACUAGAUGUUACUAGAGAUGCGGCUCCAUCAUGGAAUGGUUCCUUAUGCGCUUUUGCAUGGCGAAAAUCAGGUAUUGGGAGAAAUUCACUUUGGUCAAAUCAGCACAAAUCUGUGUGGUGAUGCACAAAGAUUUCACUUUUCCGUGAAGCAGUUGCUGCUUGGCUUUGCAGCAAGUGGCAGUCAACACUUGAUUAUCUUGCAAUGUCCUGUUCCAGUUGGGGCACAGGUGUGGAGCCUCCUUCCAGAGCUGGCACAAGUUCAGGAGCGGUUCAGCCAAAGUACAGAGCUCGAGCUAAUAAGCCUUGGACCAGCUCUGCAGGGAGACAACUCGAGAUCCACCACUUGGGACUCUGUUGUCCAGUCCACUGCAAGCUGUCUGCACCUCUGGCUACUAAGCAGUUCCUGGAGGUGGCCUUCCUCUGCUGCUGCUGUGAGCUUAGUCAGAGCUAGCGAUCUUGCAGCUUCUCUAAGGUGAGCCUUGAAAUUCUUUGAGCUGGCUAGUGCUCUCCCAGGGCUGUGUUGCAGUGGUUUGCUGCAGCUGAGCUGCAGAGACCAGGCACUCCCCAUUAAAUCAGCUAUGCCACCCAGGCAUCCAGGUCCAGCCACUCUCUGCUCUGACCUUCCAACUACACCCACUAAUACCCAGCUCAGGCACCAGCUCCUUGCCAUCUCUCUUCUGGCUGAGUCUGCCUCUAUAAACCCUUCAGACCAUUUCACUGGAAAGUCUGAAAGAUGAACUUGGCCACUCUGCCCCAUUAUUUGCUUUCUGUCACUCAUUCAGCAAGGCUUGGGCUCCGUUUCGAGCUGUCUUCUUUUCUGCCUGGCCGUGUGGGUUUUGGACUUUCAUUAUUUUCAGAGGCUUUAAAUACAGGGAGAUAUACACAUACAUAUAUGUAUACAUAAGCACAUGCAUAUAUAUAAUAUCUAUGUAUAAUGUAUUGGCAGGUAGUGGUAGAGGGGGUAAAAACAUUUAAAUAUAAUAUGAGGCCAAUCUUGAUGUUCUGAUUUGCUUUUGAGAAUUUUAAACCCGAAACUCUAAUUCUGGUCUCUCUCUAGUCCCCCCUAAUAUGUGUCACUUAAAAUGGUUAAAACUGCAGGGAAAAACAGAAGAGGAAGGGUCCUAUUCCCACUAGAGGUCAGUGUCAACACAUGCUGCUCGGAGGCACCCAGCGCUACUCGAAAUAACCUCUCCAGCAAGAAACACGGCUCAGAAAGGCUCUCCUGCCACACUGCGCUGCCAGGAGCAUCAGGGCAGAGCCUGGGCAUGGGAAGGACUCCCCAGGUGACCUGUGACCCCCGGUACUGUCCCUGGUAAUGUCCAGUCCUCAAGUACAGCCCUCUGAUUUCCUAAGUGAAACCCAGGUCUCUGCGCUCGACUUCUUGAACCCAAGCUCUGCCCACCUCAGUUGCAGCCUGGCCUGGCACCAGCAUCUUCUCCCCUGUUCCUUGAGCUGUUAACUGGGUGAGUCCGUGUCAGACACCUCUUGUCCUUCUGCUGUGCACUCGCGUAACGUUUCGGGAGCCACUGCGCCAAUAUGGUGACACAACCCGGAGCCCGUCAGAUUUGUCUACGUGUGGUAGGUGGUCGGCAAGUUGCCCAGCUAACGCCCUCCCUGAGAAGGACACACGGUUCCCACUGUUGCCCAGAGUCCUGUGGUGGACGGGGUAGUUUCUAUCUCCUUCUGUUGUUCACUGUGUGUAUGUGUGUGUAUGAUCUGUAGGGAGCUGGACAAGGAGGAUUAAUUAAUUCUUUGAAUUGGGAUCGCACCUAGCUCACCCUGCUCUCAGCCACGACAUUCACUUCCACAAGCAGAAUGUGAGCGAUAUAAAGAUGCACUAAAAAUCCUCGAGCUUACAAAGUGAACAAACAAAACCCCCAGAUACUUUAACAAAAUCUCAUUCUAAAUUAGAUCCUCCUUGUACAACUCCUGUCAGCUCAGUGGCUGCAGUAGCAAUGCUCUCUGCUUGCAUCUGGGCAAACGCAUGGCUGAUAAGGCCUCGGUACAUAUUUAUUUAUGUGUGUGUGCACGUGCAGCUGUGUGUGCUCAGAGGUCUCCCAAAGGAGAUGGCAGAUGUGGUCAUGAAUGGGGAGGGGACAGCAGAUGGUUUUGGAGAACUGA